rnacentral:lncRNA from 1 species
GAACAUACACUCUAUAGAGCCUACGCUACUUUUUUCUAUCAUUACUAACCAUUUAUUAUCUUCUAUUGCUAGUCAUUUCUUCAGGUUUUAUUUCCCAUGAAAAUAAUUAGUAAGUCUCAAUCCACUUGCUAAAUGUGGGUCAGAUAAGUGGUGCCACAGAAGGGCUGAAAAAGGAACAAACACUUCUACUUAAAUGUCUGGGGAGGUUCCCCGAGUUCCCUGGGAUUUGCAGUGAGCUAUAAAAUAUUUGGCCAGGGAGUAGGGAGGGGUUUAGGUAUUAACAACAAUAGCAACAAUAGUAAGUGUUAAAAAUUAGCACUUACUACGUGCCAGCAUCUAUUCUAAGCAUUUUAGAUACAUUAACCUACUUAAUUUUAUGAGAAAAUACUUUUAAUAAGUUAUUUUCAGUGAUAUACAGACAGAAGCACAAAAGAGAGAUUAAAUAAAUUGUCCAAACUACACAGCAAGUAAGUAGUAAAGCGUAUCUGGUCCCCAAGCGCAUGGUCUUAACCACCAUGCUGUCCUGCUUUGGAAAUGAAAAAAAUUGUGGGAGGGAGACCAGAUAUGUGAAAAUACAUACAUAUGUCUGAAGGUGGAUGAAGGAAUCACUGUGGUUCAAGUCAGGUGUUAGUGCUGUAGAAGUGGGACUAGGUUGAGGAGAGCCACAAUAUAAAGCUAAGACAUUACCCCCCUCUUCAUAAACAAUGGGACCAAGAACGAAAUUGUAGGAUAAUAAGUCCAGUAACCAAAUCUAAGAUUGAUGGGGGAGGAAGGGAUUGGAUAUAAGGAGACUAAUCAAGAGGCUUCUGCAAUUGCCUGGCUAAAAGGGAAUGGUGCCCAAACCUUGGUAGUGGCGAAAGGAAAAUUGAGAUAGAUUCUGGAGGUGUUAUGAAGAAACAACAUUAUUGCAGUAUUCUUGGAAAACAGAGAGGAGGUGAUGGUAAAGCUGACUCUACAUUUUUUAAAGCUCAGAUGAAGAAAGAACGCAGGUCCCUGAGCUUAGGAGUUGUGUCAUUCAUCUUUUUUUCCCCCAGGAGCUAGCAAAAUGCUUGAUAUGCCUUUUUAAAGUAAUGAAUAAAUGAAGGUGAUGGAAAGAGAAAUGGGAACAUCAGAAGUGAUGAUGCCAUAUAUACCAAAAAUCUCUACAGUGCAUUUAGUAAUUCACAGGAUAUCUGAGUGGCUUAGGUGGGUUGGCUUCCAUCAUGCCAUUACUUAUAUAGAAAUAGAAUUUAUUUUCUCUUUCCACCUUUGGCUUGGUUUUCAGAUGCUACCUGAUUUCCCCCACCACACGCCUCGGAUGCUCUUCCUCAGGCUGAUCUCGGUCAGCCUGCGUUUCCUCUGCCCUGCCCCAGCGACCCCCAUCCUUGCCCACCAGCUGCAGACUCAUCCUGUCCAGAUCUGACCCCUAAUCAGAAUGUUGCACUUAUCAAGACGAUAAGAUAAGCAGGCUAACAUACUUUACCAUUCUUUUAUUUAUUUAUUUUUAAUAGCAAAGGGAGAAACCACAGACGUUUAUCAGCCUUCUCACACAAUCUUAGCUAAAAAGAAUACUAAAUUAAUGAAAGCACCUCAUUUCUUGGGCAGUUAAUGAAGGUUAAUGUGACAUACUGCCUCUGGCUCUGGAAGUUAAAAGGGGUGUUACUGCCUCAUAUUAUAGCUGGGAAAAAAAAGUGUUAAUAAUCUUUCUCAUCAGCAGUAAAGAAUUGAGCUUUUAAUACCCAGAUAUAUUUUAGUAAAAGGCUAGUAUAUCAUCUGUAAGUGGAGUUCAAGAGCAAUGUUAGAUAACUAGGGCAUUUCGAGAGCCCGCUUACACCAGAGACCAAGAAAAAAAAAAAA